CCGGCAUCUGCAUUUAUAGCUUCCAUGACAUAGACUAGGCCAGAGCAAAAAAACAAUCUUGUUCUAUAGAACAGCUCAGGAUGGCUCAAAUAUAAGGCCCUCUCAUAGCUGUUUGCAACCCAAGUCUAAAUUUCAGCUUUCUCUUUUAGUCUGUGGGCUCAUUUACUGGCUCUGUAUCCCUGGUUUGGAUGUAACUAUGGGUUGGCUUUGCAAGUUUCAAUAGGGAAUGGCACAAGAAUGAAAAUAGAAAUGCCUGAGCUGCCAAAAUGCAAGCCUGGAUCUCAUAGGACACUGCAUUAGGUGCCAAAAGACUCCUCCGGGGAUUGGCUUGCCACGCUCCACAUCCUCACACUCUGCUGGGAUUGCAACUGUCUGCCCGGCCCCAGCUGGUGGCCCUGCACUGGGAAGGAGUCAGAACAGGGGCUGUGGAAGAAUGAGAACAAAUCAAAGAAAACAGACUGAUUAAACUGGAGGAAGAAAGAAAUUUCCUCAGGAGAAAGGAUCCUUUCCAUCUGGACAACUGACAGGAGAUAAGAGAAAGACGAUAGGACCAUCUCAGCCUGAAUGGUGACACUUGUAACUUCUCAUAUUCCACGGCAAGAACUAGUCUUUUGGUCCUACCUAGAUGCAGACUCUACCACAUACAUCAACAAGUAGGUUUCUAUUUUUCCCCAAUUCUGUGACCUUUUUUCAUUCCCUUUUUACUUCUUGAGUGGCUACUUCCAUAAAAAGGAGUAGAAAAGUUAUUAUGAAAAAUCUUACAUGUCCCUUUAAGAUGUAGCCUGAUGUGUGGAAAUAUACUAACAUACAUUUGAUGUAGAUAUCAUUAUCAUCUCAAUAACUUGUUCCCAUUAUCUGUGAGAAAAUGCAAA
rnacentral:lncRNA from 1 species